rnacentral:lncRNA from 1 species
GGCAGGAUUGCCAAAGGGGCAAAAGCACAGGCAGGGGGAACCUUGCAGAGUGUCGCUGUGCUGGCAGAGCGUGCUCCAUCAGUAGCAGCAGAUGCCUGCUGCUGAAGCCAUGUCAAAAAGAACAGGUGCUAGAGGUCCUGAGCGGCAUUCCCAUCGGCCCGGCCCUGCCAGGCAGCUGCUAAGGCUGCUUCCUGCUCCUCCUGCUUCCUCCUGUGGCCUCACAAUGAGCCACAUUGACCCAAGUCACCAGAGCGUGUCUCUUUUCAUCUUGACCCGAAAGAGCCUCAGCGGCACCAGGCAUACCCUUGGCAACUGGACAGGGUAACCCCGUAUACGGCUUCUAAAGGAAGAGUAAUGAGGACCAGGAGCGUUCCAAAGGAGAUGAGGUGGGGGGUUUUUGUUGUUGUUUGUUUGUUUGUUUGUUUUGCUUAUAGUAAAGUAUAUAAAAAUGUCUAUUAAG